GACGAACGCUGGCGGCGUGCUUAACACAUGCAAGUCGAACGGUGAAGCUCCAGCUUGCUGGAGUGGCUCAGUGGCGAACGGGGGAGUAACACGUGAGCAACCUGCCCCUGACUCUGGAAUAAGCGCUGGAAACGGCGUCUAAUACUGGAUACGAGAAGGGCCCGCAUGGGCACUUUCUGGAAAGUUGUUCGGUUGGGGAUGGGCUCGCGGCCUAUCAGCUUGUUGGUGAGGUAAUGGCUCACCAAGGCGACGACGGGUAACCGGCAUGAGAGGGCGACCGGGCACAAGGGGACUGCGACACGGCGCAGUCUCCUACAGUAGGCAGCAGUGGGGAAUAUUGCACAAUGGGCGCAAGUCUGAGGCAGCGACGCCGCGUGUGUGAUGACGGCCUUCGGGGUGUAAACCUCUUUCAGCAGGGAAGAAGCUAUAGUGACGGUACCUGCAGAAGAAGCACCGGCUAACUACGUG
rnacentral:rRNA from 1 species